GACGAACGCUGGCGGCGUGCUUAACACAUGCAAGUCGAACGGAAAGGCCCUGCUUUUGUGGGGUGCUCGAGUGGCGAACGGGUGAGUAACACGUGAGUAACCUGCCCUUGACUUUGGGAUAACUUCAGGAAACUGGGGCUAAUACCGGAUAGGAGCUCCUGCUGCAUGGUGGGGGUUGGAAAGUUUCGGCGGUUGGGGAUGGACUCGCGGCUUAUCAGCUUGUUGGUGGGGUAGUGGCUUACCAAGGCUUUGACGGGUAGCCGGCCUGAGAGGGUGACCGGCCACAUUGGGACUGAGAUACGGCCCAGACUCCUACGGGAGGCAGCAGUGGGGAAUAUUGCACAAUGGGCGGAAGCCGGAUGCAGCAACGCCGCGUGCGGGAUGACGGCCUUCGGGUUGUAAACCGCUUUCGCCUGUGACGAAGCGUGAGUGACGGUAAUGGUAAAGAAGCACCGGCUAACUACGUG
rnacentral:rRNA from 1 species